UGGGGAAUAUUGGACAAUGGGCGGAAGCCUGAUCCAGCAACGCCGCGUGAGGGAUGACGGCCUUCGGGUUGUAAACCUCUUUCAGCACAGACGAAGCGCAAGUGACGGUAUGUGCAGAAGAAGGACCGGCCAACUACGUGCCAGCAGCCGCGGUAAUACGUAGGGUCCGAGCGUUGUCCGGAAUUAUUGGGCGUAAAGGGCUCGUAGGCGGUUUGUCGCGUCGGGAGUGAAAACACCGGGCUUAACUCGGUGCUUGCUUUCGAUACGGGCAGACUAGAGGUAUUCAGGGGAGAACGGAAUUCCUGGUGUAGCGGUGAAAUGCGCAGAUAUCAGGAGGAACACCGGUGGCGAAGGCGGUUCUCUGGGAAUAUCCUGACGCUGAGGAGCGAAAGUGUGGGGAGCGAACAGGAUUAGAUACCCUGGUAGUCCACACCGUAAAACGUUGGGCGCUAGGUGUGGGGUCCAUUCCACGGAUUCCGUGCCGCAGCUAACGCAUUAAGCGCCCCGCCUGGGGAGUACGGCCGCAAGGCUAAAACUCAAAGGAAUUGACGGGGUCAUAGCUGUUUCCUG
rnacentral:rRNA from 1 species